rnacentral:lncRNA from 1 species
UAAAUAUUAAAUACGAAACUUUACGAGAUACAUGUUGGUGAAACUUAAUGUUUCAAGUAAACACAACCAAAAAAACACUUUAAAACUUUUCCAUAAAUAAAGGGUGGCAUACCUAUAGUUUUUACCCAAAUUCAGUAACUUUUAAUCACACACUAUAAAAUUCUUGUAAGGGACUAAUUGAGAAAAUGCAGGAGAGGGGAAGGGGAAGUGUACUAAUCAUUUAUAAACUCUCAACAAUCAGCACUUAAAUUGUUGUUAGUAAAAAUAAAAAUAAAUAACAAAACAUCAUCCACAUGGUGAACAUACUAUCAAAUUUACCACCAACUCAUCAUACUAGUAAUCCACUACACCCUUGUUAAAAGUUUGAAGUAAGAAUAACACUCGAUACAAUAAAAUAAUUACAAAAUUGAAAAAAUAACUCAUUCAUAAUCUCUAUCACAACAUACAUAUAUUAUGAUUUGAGUUAGUUGUCAAGAUGAACCAGAGCCAAAAAUUACAAAGAAUGAGCACUUAACCAGAUGCAUAACAAAGAAAAGUGAAAAAUAAAACACCAUCAACAUGAUGGACAUACCAUCACAGCGACAAACUCGUUAUACCACAAAAUCCACUAUCCUGUUGUUAAAAUUUAAAGUAAAACUAACACUCAAUACAAUAAAAUAAUUACUUAUUAAAUAAGAAAAAUAACUCAUCCACGAUCUCUAUCACAACAAACAUCUAUUACCAUUAUAGGCAGUUGUCACAAUAAACUAUAACCAACCAUCACAAGCAAAUAAAACGUGAACAAUUGUAGAAGAAAGAAAAGUUAAUAAUAAAACAUCAUCGUUGAACAUAUCAUCACAUCCAUCAAGUCAUCAUGCUACUAAUCCACUACCUAAAUAUUAAAAGCAAGUUUAACAUUCAAUACAAUAAAAUAAAUAUUAAAUACAAAAAAUAAUUAAUCCAAUCUCUUUACCAUAACAUGCAUCAAACUCUUGAUAGUUGUCAAUAUUAACCAAAAGCCAAACAUCACAAGCAAAGAGCACCUCGGUUGAAGCAGAAAAGUGAAUAAUAAAACUCUACAUGAUGAACAUACCAUCACAUCCACUAACUCAUCAUGACACUAAUCCACUAUCCCCUUAUUAGUAUGAUUAACACUCGAUACAAUAAAAUAAGUACUAAAUACAAAACUAACUUAUCCACGAUCUACAUCAGAACAUAUUUAUUAUGAUUUUAGAGUUAGUUGUCAAAAUAAACCAGAGCCAAGCAUUACAUGAAAGAGCACUUAACCAGUUGCAACACAAAGAAAAGCGAAAAAUAAAAC